CCGGCCCCGGCGGCGGAUUNNUNANUAAUGCCUAGGAAUCGGCCNGGUAGUGGGGNACAACGUUUCGAAAGGAACGCUAAUACCGCAUACGUCCUACGGGAGAAAGCAGGGGACCUUCGGGCCUUGCGCNUAUCAGAUGAGCCUAGGUCGGAUUAGCUAGUAGGUGAGGUAAUGGCUCACCUAGGCGACGAUCCGUAACUGGUCUGAGAGGAUGAUCAGUCACACUGGAANUGAGNCACGGUCCAGACUCCUACGGGAGGCANCAGUGGGGAAUAUUGGACAAUGGGCGAAAGCCUGAUCCAGCCAUGCCGCGUGUGUGAAGAAGGUCUUCGGAUUGUAAAGCACUUUAAGUUGGGAG
rnacentral:rRNA from 1 species